AGGCUGGCAGAUACGUUCGUUAGAUUACUCCUUUCUGCCCGUGGACGCCGCCGAGUAAGCAUCGAUAAAGUCUCCCCUCCCACCGCCGUCAUGUCUAAGUCAGAGUCUCCCAAAGAGCCUGAACAGCUGCGGAAGCUUUUCAUCGGAGGUUUGAGCUUUGAAACAACCGAUGAGAGUCUGAGGAGCCAUUUUGAGCAAUGGGGAACGCUUACGGACUGUGUGGUAAUGAGAGAUCCAAACACCAAGCGCUCCAGAGGCUUUGGAUU